ensembl:lncRNA
GCACGUGGGUGGGAGGGGGCCCUGAGGCUGGAGGGGCCGCCUUACAACGGAAGUAGUAGUACUAGCCAUACUGUCACGGCGCCCGCCCGGGCAGGGGAGGAAUAGUGGCGCGGCGACAGCUGGUGGCUCGCGGCCGGUCACCUCCGCAGGCAGGGGCUGCUGGAGAGGGGAGACAGCUGCUGAUUCGCGGCCAUGUGCCCGAGUCACAGCCGCCCUGUGGGUCCUGGGGACCCAGGUGUGGCACCAGUUCGCUUGCCCAGAGCCCUGAGCUUCCGGCUCAUCCCUGCUGCCCAGGUUGGGUGGGUCCAGCCCCUUGGUCAGAUGGGAGCUUGCUGCCUGAGCUCCCUCCCGCAGGCACGCAGGGGCCGCCUCUUCCCCGAUUUUCUACACACCCCAAGCCCCCCGGGGGGGUCCAAGGGGAACUCAUGUAUCCGUGGCCGAGGGCCAGGCUGGGCUUGGCGCUGGGCAUGAGAUUCCCAGGCGUCGGUCAGGCGGCUCCUUCGCGGAGCCCGGGGUGCGCCCGCCGCCCCACCGCGGGUGAGCUCGUCACCUCCCUGAGCGCGCACCGCUUGAGUUGAGGAAGUGUGCAGAUUUCUGUCCGUUGGCAAAGGGGGAAGCCGAGGCGCCCAGGGAGGAAGUGGCUUCCCCAGGAGACCCAGGCAGGAAGGCGUGGAGCAAGGCCUCCCUCCAGGACCGGCCCCUGAGCCUCUGCUCUCCCAUGGCUUCGUGAUGUGGCUUUUCCGGCCAAUUCCUUCCAUUUCCACACGCGAGGGAGGCCCGAGGCCAGGGAGGGGAGGCGACUCCCCCAAGGAGCAGCCAGCAGGUGUGGGCACUGAGACAACCAAGCCUUUGGGUCUGGCUGCCCUGGAGCCCUGCUGGGUGCAGGGGGCUCUGAGGCACAGCUGUCCGUGUGCCAGGGUGCCAGCCCCUCCAAAUCCUGAUGCCAGAUCAGAGGCUCCAGCUUGGCCCGCCUCUGUUUCUUUACCGCACUUGUGACCCAGCAAAGAACCAGGGCCCGGCACUCACAGAAGGUCUGUGGGAGGAAGGGGGGCCUGGGUGCACGCAGCCCCUGGCCCAGCCCCUCCCCAGACGCCGCAGUCAGGAUCAGGCUGUGCAAGGCCACGCCGCAGUCUCGGCAGACACCCCAACCGUGAGCUGCGUCCCAUCCUUAGAAAACAAGGUGUUUGCACCAGCCAAGCUCGAGGAGGCCCCUGCCUGCCCCUGGGGGGAGGGGGAGAGCUGAUGUCAGCCACUCCCUGCCCAUCCAGUUUGAGUGACACGAAGGGCUGCAAAGAGCUGGGGCUGGACGUGUUGGGGCCCGCGGAGAGUGAGACACACACUGGGAUGCGUAUAAAAUGAAGCCAGCAGGACCACAGGCUUGGGCGUCGUCCAUGGGGCCACGCUGAGGCCCCUCCGCACCCGUGUCCAUGCACUGAGGACUGGCCGCUGCCAGGGACGCUCACCUGUGCACCCCGGGGGCUGCAAGGGGCGCUCCUUGGGACUCUUGGGAUCCACAAAGACAAAAGCACUUGAUUUCCUGGGUCAGCAGCAGCAAGGGGCAGCCCGCCUCAGGGGCUCCCAGGAGCCCUGUCUGUAAGGACACAGGACGCCCAUGCUUCCGGUCCACCCCCAACAAGGCAGGAUGUCCGACAUUUUGUGUGGCUUUAAUGACAAGUUUAGGCUGACGUGUAGUGGUGACAUCUGGGGGUGGGCUGGGGGAGGCCUUUUGACUGGCUGCUGCUGCAUCAUUUAUGUGAGGGUUGAUUUAUUUAGGAGAGAACGGUGCACUUUCAUCUCACAGCCUGGUGGUCUCGCCUUGUGUGGAGAGAACAGACACCUCCCCUGUGUGGACCAGUGGCCUGAGGGCACGCCAGCAAUGUCCAGUGAGCAGGCUGGAUGUCCCUGAGUGAGGUGAGGCAGGGAGAGUAGGCCCCGAGGUGUCCCAGCACAGCCCGCUCCCAAGGGGCUGAGCAAGCCUCCGGUCCCGUUGGCUGGGCAGUGGGGGGGGGCACAGGGGGAAAGGUCCUUUGCUCA